CGGCCUUACACGUUGAAACACCGGUUCCCGUACGAUCACCGAAGUUAAGCAACAUCGAGCUUGGUCAAUACCUUGAUGGAUGACCGCUUG